rnacentral:rRNA from 1 species
UGCAGUCGAGGGGUAUAGGUUUUCGGAUCUAGAGACCGGCGCACGGGUGCGUAACGCGUAUGCAAUCUACCUUUUACAGAGGGAUAGCCCAGAGAAAUUUGGAUUAAUACCUCAUAGUAUUAUGAAAUGGCAUCAUUUUAUAAUUAAAGUCACAACGGUAAAAGAUGAGCAUGCGUCCCAUUAGCUAGUUGGUAAGGUAACGGCUUACCAAGGCAACGAUGGGUAGGGGUCCUGAGAGGGAGAUCCCCCACACUGGUACUGAGACACGGACCAGACUCCUACGGGAGGCAGCAGUGAGGAAUAUUGGACAAUGGGCGCAAGCCUGAUCCAGCCAUGCCGCGUGCAGGAUGACGGUCCUAUGGAUUGUAAACUGCUUUUGUACGAGAAGAAACACUACUUCGUGAAGUAGCUUGACGGUAUCGUAAGAAUAAGGAUCGGCUAACUCCGUGCCAGCAGCCGCGGUAAUACGGAGGAUCCAAGCGUUAUCCGGAAUCAUUGGGUUUAAAGGGUCCGUAGGCGGUUUAGUAAGUCAGUGGUGAAAGCCCAUCGCUCAACGGUGGAACGGCCAUUGAUACUGCUAGACUUGAAUUAUUAGGAAGUAACUAGAAUAUGUAGUGUAGCGGUGAAAUGCUUAGAGAUUACAUGGAAUACCAAUUGCGAAGGCAGGUUACUACUAAUUGAUUGACGCUGAUGGACGAAAGCGUGGGUA